rnacentral:rRNA from 1 species
AAGUCGUAACAAGGUUUCCGUAGGUGAACCUGCGGAAGGAUCAUUACCUAGAGUUGUAGGCUUUGCCUGCUAUCUCUUACCCAUGUCUUUUGAGUACCUUCGUUUCCUCGGUGGGUUCGCCCGCCGAUUGGACAAAACUUAAACCCUUUGUAGUUGCAAUCAGCGUCUGAAAAAACUUAAUAGUUACAACUUUCAACAACGGAUCUCUUGGUUCUGGCAUCGAUGAAGAACGCAGCGAAAUGCGAUAAGUAGUGUGAAUUGCAGAAUUCAGUGAAUCAUCGAAUCUUUGAACGCACAUUGCGCCCCUUGGUAUUCCAUGGGGCAUGCCUGUUCGAGCGUCAUUUGUACCUUCAAGCUCUGCUUGGUGUUGGGUGUUUGUCUCGCCUUUGCGUGUAGACUCGCCUCAAAACAAUUGGCAGCCGGCGUAUUGAUUUCGGAGCGCAGUACAUCUCGCGCUUUGCACUCAUAACGACGACGUCCAAAAAGUACAUUUUUACACUCUUGACCUCGGAUCAGGUAGGGAUACCCGCUGAACUUAA